rnacentral:rRNA from 1 species
AACGAACGCUGGCGGCAUGCCUAACACAUGCAAGUCGAACGAGACCUUCGGGUCUAGUGGCGCACGGGUGCGUAACGCGUGGGAACCUGCCCUUAGGUUCGGAAUAACUCCCCGAAAGGGGUGCGAAUACCGGAUAAUGUCCUCGGACCAAAGAUUUAUCGCCAUUGGAUGGGCCUGCGUUGGAUUAGCUAGUUGGUAGGGUAAAAGCCUACCAAGGCGACGAUCCAUAGCUGGUUUGAGAGGAUGAUCCGCCACACUGGUGCUGAGACACGGUCCAGACUCCUACGGGAGGCAGCAGUGGGGAAUAUUGGACAAUGGGCGAAAGCCUGAUCCAGCAAUGCCGCGUGAGUGAUGAAGGCCUUAGGGUUGUAAAGCUCUUUUACCCGGGAUGAUAAUGACAGUACCGGGAGAAUAAGCUCCGGCUAACUCCGUG